AGAGCACUGUUUCGGCUAGGGGGCCAUCCCGGCUUACCAACCCGAUGCAAACUGCGAAUACCGGAGAAUGUUAUCACGGGAGACACACGGCGGGUGCUAACGUCCGUCGUGAAGAGGGAAACAACCCAGACCGCCAGCUAAGGUCCCAAAGUCAUGGUUAAGUGGGAAACGAUGUGGGAAGGCCCAGACAGCCAGGAUGUUGGCUUAGAAGCAGCCAUCAUUUAAAGAAAGCGUAAUAGCUCACUGGUCGAGUCGGCCUGCGCGGAAGAUGUAACGGGGCUAAACCAUGCACCGAAGCUGCGGCAGCGACGCUUAUGCGUUGUUGGGUAGGGGAGCGUUCUGUAAGCCUGUGAAGGUGUGUCGUGAGGCAUGCUGGAGGUAUCAGAAGUGCGAAUGCUGACAUAAGUAACGAUAAAGCGGGUGAAAAGCCCGCUCGCCGGAAGACCAAGGGUUCCUGUCCAACGUUAAUCGGGGCAGGGUGAGUCGACCCCUAAGGCGAGGCCGAAAGGCGUAGUCGAUGGGAAACGGGUUAAUAUUCCCGUACUUGGUGUUACUGCGAAGGGGGGACGGAGAAGGCUAUGUUGGCCGGGCGACGGUUGUCCCGGUUUAAGCGUGUAGGUGUGUGUUCCAGGUAAAUCCGGUUCACUUUAACACUGAGGCGUGACGACGAGGCACUACGGUGCUGAAGCAACAAAUGCCCUGCUUCCAGGAAAAGCCUCUAAGCAUCAGGUAACAUCAAAUCGUACCCCAAACCGACACAGGUGGUCAGGUAGAGAAUACCAAGGCGCUUGAGAGAACUCGGGUGAAGGAACUAGGCAAAAUGGUGCCGUAACUUCGGGAGAAGGCACGCUGACAC
rnacentral:rRNA from 1 species